UACGUAGGGUGCAAGCGUUAUCCGGAAUUAUUGGGCGUAAAGAGCUCGUAGGCGGUUUGUUGCGUCUGCUGUGAAAACCCGAGGCUCAACCUCGGGCCUGCAGUGGGUACGGGCAGACUAGAGUGCGGUAGGGGAGAUUGGAAUUCCUGGUGUAGCGGUGGAAUGCGCAGAUAUCAGGAGGAACACCGGUGGCGAAGGCGGGUCUCUGGGCAGUAACUGACGCUGAGGAGCGAAAGCGUGGGGAGCGAACAGG
rnacentral:rRNA from 1 species